ensembl:lncRNA
AGAGGAUUGAGGCUCAUUCUAUCACACUCACUCACAGCAGCGAGAGCGCGGAGGAUGGAGGCGACUGAAGCGGUAGGUGAAACGCGUCUCUUACUUCUCGCUGAAGAGCGGUUAGCUGCUCAGACCUGCCUGUUGGAGGAACAGUGAGCUGUGACGGGUUUCUGUGGUUUUGUCGUGAGUCUUGGAGUUUGUCCAGUGGGGUUUCGUGCGUUGAAGUGUUUGCUGGGUCAAAAGCUCGAGUAUUAGUGUUGGAGGGACUGACGCUGUCCGAGGUGCUGAAAAUGGUUAGAGAAGGGAGGAGAGACCAUGGUACGGGAACAAUAGGUCAUAUCUGAGGUACGACAUAGUGGGAUGGCUCUGAAAAAGCAGGACACUCUUACCUUCAGAAUGAGAGCCAAGCAUUUCCAGUUCAACUACAGCUGAAACAUCACGACACAAGUAAGUCCUUCAGGUUUCUUUCAUCAAGAUUCUAAGUAAAAACUUUUGAAGUACAUGAAAAUAGGAUUUGCUCAACUAUUCAUUUUAACUAGCUUACUAGCAGUCUAAAUAAGCAGCUUUUGUAAAUAGCAUGUAUCAGCGGUCUGACGGCCGGGUGGAGAGCCUUGUGCAGUUGAACAUUUUUAUGGCUUUAAUUUAAAUUUCC